GGUCCCGUAGUGUAGCGGUUAUCACGUCGCCCUGUCACGGCGAAGAUCGCGGGUUCGAAUCCCGUCGGGACCG
rnacentral:tRNA from 5 species